GACGAACGCUGGCGGCGUGCCUAAUACAUGCAAGUCGAACGCAGUGGGGACGGGUGAGUAACACGUGGGUAACCUCCCCUCAGACGGGCUAAAACUUGGAAACAGGUGCUAAACCGAUACUGAUGGAUGGACCCGCGGUGCUGUAGCUGCUUGGUGAGGGAACGGCUCAACAAGGCCACGAUGCAUAGCCGACCUGAGAGGGUGAUCCGCCACACUGGGACUGAGACACGGCCCAGACUCCUACGGUAGGCAGCAGUAGGGAAUCUUGGGCAAUGGAGGAAAGUCUGACCGAGCAACGCCGCGUGAGUGAAGAAGGUCUUCGGAUUGUAAAACUCUGUUGUUAGAGAAGCGGUAUCUAACCAGAAAGCACCGGCUAACUACGUGCCAGCAGCCGCAGUAAUAC
rnacentral:rRNA from 1 species